GAUCUACCUGGACAUUUACAAGGGCAGUUCCAGCUAAUUGAAACAUUAGAGACCCACCAGGAAUCGAGCCCCUGAUGAAGGGGUCAGGAUGAGAGACUCUGUGAUCUCAGCAACACCCAGAUGUUGGUCUGGCUGAUGUUCCAUGAGGACAGUAAACUUGGGAGUUUCUGAAGAUCUGGACCUGAUGGGAUCUGGGCCCCCACAACCUGGUAGACCGUGAUGCUGAGAUGAUUACUAAAAGUGGACCAGCAACCAAAUGAAGUGCUCAUGCAAUUGAAAUUGCCUUGAGGAUACAGCCUUGGGACAAUCUCUUUGGGAGUUCCUGAAGAUCUGGACCUGACGGAGUUUAGCCCCAACAACCCUGAGAACAGCAUCUUUCCAAGGAACUACCCACCCAUCAUUUUGUUGGAAAUUCUGCGUAAUGUGUGAGGACUUCAUGAGGCUGUGUCCUUGGUCUAUAUCUCCAGCCUGGCAACAUAAGAGUCUCCGUUCCCAAAGAAAGCCCAAUACUGAAUGUCACCAAGAGAAUGAUAAUCACCAAAGCAUCCAGGACAAAGGCAUGAAAAAGAAGGCAAUUAAAAGAAUUCCGCACCCACACAGUUAUUCCAGAGCUUACGAAGGUUCGACUUGAAAAGGAGGCAGCUGGCGCAGCAGAAAGAGAUGGGGCUCUUUGGGUUGGCCGAGCAUGAGGUAGGUUAUCUGCCGAAUAUAUGGCACCAAGCAAAAUGCAGACUUGGAAAAUGAAUUAGCAGUCAGAAAGCUGAGGACUUGAGGUUCAGUCUAGAGACUUGUUCCUGCCCUGAAGUAUCAUUCCAAGGCCUGAUGUUUAUUCAAGAAACCAGAAGCUGCUCCUUGGGGAAACUUAGAUGUGAAGCCAGCAUUCAUGAUGAAUUGCAUUUUUGACCCAUUGUAACAUUUAAUAUUUUUCACAUGUUAUUAACACACUGCUCUGUAACCUCUACAGUGGAGUUAGCUCUUUUCUUGCGCUUUGAACUCAACACAUAGAAAAGGUAGCCUUUUAGUUGCAUAAGUAAACAUAGUUUCCAUUUGCUUUUGUUAUCCUACUGUUUUGAAAGGCAAUAAAAACAGCUUAGCACAGACA
rnacentral:lncRNA from 1 species